GCGCGCUUAGCUCAGUUGGUUAGAGCGUCUCGUUUACACCGAGAAGGUCCGGGGUUCGAAUCCCUGAGCGCGCA
rnacentral:tRNA from 1 species